rnacentral:rRNA from 1 species
UACAGAGGGUGCAAGCGUUAAUCGGAAUUACUGGGCGUAAAGCGCACGUAGGCGGUUUUUUAAGUCAGAUGUGAAAGCCCCGGGCUCAACCUGGGAAUUGCAUUUGAAACUGGAAAGCUAGAGUGUGUGAGAGGGGGGUAGAAUUCCAAGUGUAGCGGUGAAAUGCGUAGAGAUUUGGAGGAAUACCAGUGGCGAAGGCGGCCCCCUGGCACAACACUGACGCUCAGGUGCGAAAGCGUGGGGAGCAAACAGG